rnacentral:rRNA from 1 species
UACGUAGGGUGCGAGCGUUGUCCGGAAUUAUUGGGCGUAAAGGGCUCGUAGGCGGUCUGUCGCGUCGGUCGUGAAAACUUGGGGCUUAACCCUGAGCUUGCGGUCGAUACGGGCAUGACUGGAGUUCGGCAGGGGAGACUGGAAUUCCUGGUGUAGCGGUGAAAUGCGCAGAUAUCAGGAGGAACACCGGUGGCGAAGGCGGGUCUCUGGGCCGAUACUGACGCUGAGGAGCGAAAGCGUGGGGAGCGAACAGG